UUCUAAUAGCAUUCACUCAUAUAAUCGCAGGGAUAUGGCCUGCAAGUUUCUACCGAUUUACCGUAAAUAAAUCGACUAUGGGCAG
rnacentral:ncRNA from 1 species